rnacentral:rRNA from 1 species
CAGCAGCCGCCGCGGGAAUACGAAGGGUGCAAGCGUUAAUCGGAAUUACUGGGCGUAAAGCGUGCGUAGGCGGUGAGUUAAGUCUGCUGUGAAAUCCCCGGGCUCAACCUGGGAAUGGCAAUGGAUACUGGCAAGCUAGAGUGUGUCAGAGGAUGGUGGAAUUCCCGGUGUAGCGGUGAAAUGCGUAGAGAUCGGGAGGAACAUCAGUGGCGAAGGCGGCCACCUGGGACAACACUGACGCUGAGGCACGAAAGCGUGGGGAGCAAACAGGAUUAGAUACCCGCGUAGUCCCUGUCUCUUAUAC